rnacentral:rRNA from 1 species
UACGUAGGGGGCAAGCGUUGUCCGGAUUUAUUGGGCGUAAAGAGCGUGUAGGCGGCCUGACAGGUCUGCUGUGAAAACUCGAGGCUCAACCUCGAGAUGUCGGCGGAAACCGUCUGGCUAGAGUCCGGAAGAGGAGAGUGGAAUUCCCGGUGUAGCGGUGAAAUGCGCAGAUAUCGGGAAGAACACCCGUGGCGAAGGCGGCUCUCUGGGACGGUACUGACGCUGAGGUGCGAAAGCGUGGGGAGCAAACAGG